UGUGACUGACCUCUCAUCCCUUAUGUCCUG
rnacentral:piRNA from 1 species